rnacentral:rRNA from 1 species
AUUGAACGCUGGCGGAAUGCUUUACACAUGCAAGUCGGGCGGCAGCGCGGGGGCAACCCUGGCGGCGAGCGGCGAACGGGUGAGUAACACAUCGGAACGUAUCCUGUCGUGGGGGAUAACGAAUCGAAAGAUUCGCUAAUACCGCAUACGACCUGAGGGUGAAAGCGGGGGAUCACAAGACCUCGCGCGAUUGGAGCGGCCGAUGUCGGAUUAGCUAGUUGGUGAGGUAAAGGCUCACCAAGGCGACGAUCCGUAGCGGGUCGGAGAGGACGGCCCGCCACACUGGAACUGAGACACGGUCCAGACUCCUACGGGAGGCAGCAGUGGGGAAUUUUGGACAAUGGGGGCAACCCUGAUCCAGCCAUUCCGCGUGAGUGAAGAAGGCCUUCGGGUUGUAAAGCUCUUUCGGCAGGAACGAAAAGGCUCUCUCUAACAUAGGGGGUCAAUGACGGUACCUGAAGAAGAAGCACCGGCUAACUACGUGCCAGCAGCCGCCGCCG